UAGGGAAUCUUCCGCAAUGGACGAAAGUCUGAUGCAGCAAUGCCGCGUGAGUGAAGAAGGAUUUCGGUUUGUAAAACUCUGUUGUUAGGGAAGAAAAAAUGUAUAGUAACUAUAUACAAAAGAGACGGUACCUAACCAGAAAGCCACGGCUAACUACGUGCCAGCAGCCGCGGUAAUACGUAGGGGGCAAGCGUUGUCCGGAAUUAUUGGGCGUAAAGCGCGCGCAGGCGGUUUAGAAAGUCUGAUGUGAAAGCCCACGGCUCAACCGUGGAAUGUCAUUUGAAACUAAUAAACUUGAGUACGGAAGAGAAAAGUGGAAUUCCUAGUGUAGCGGUGAAAUGCGUAGAGAUUAGGAGGAACACCGGUGGCGAAGGCGGCUUUCUGGCCUGCAACUGACGCUGAGGCGCGAAAGCGUGGGGAGCAAACAGG
rnacentral:rRNA from 1 species